CGGGUGAGUAAUGUAUGGGGAUCUGCCUGAUGGCGGGGGAUAACUACUGGAAACGGUAGCUAAUACCGCAUAACGUCGCAAGACCAAAGAGGGGGACCUCCGGGCCUCGCGCCAUCAGAUGAACCCAUAUGGGAUUAGCUUGUAGGUAAGGUAACGGCUUACCUAGGCGACGAUCCCUAGCUGGUCUGAGAGGAUGAUCAGCCACACUGGGACUGAGACACGGUCCAG
rnacentral:rRNA from 1 species